rnacentral:rRNA from 1 species
GGGAUGACGCUGGCGGCGUGCUUACACAUGCAGUCGAGCGGCAGCGCGUUAUAGCUUGCUCUCUUUGGCGCGAGUGGGGCGUGGUUUUGAUUUAUGUCUCCGCGCGUCCCCUCUCGCACGAUACCUAUUGUGAGAGUGACCGCUACCGCACACCCGCCAUUGGGGAGAGGCGGGGAGCCCUAGCGAUCUCUUGGGAACAUAUUCCGAUAUCUUUCUUUGGUGAGUUAAGGGGGUAAGGCCCCACCGCAACAAUCCGUAGCUAGUUUGAAGGGAGGACCACCCCCCCCACUGGAGCUGAAACACCCACACUCCUCCUACGGGAAGCAUUGGGGAAUUUUGGAGAAGAAUGGAAACACCCAUGCCGCCUCCCCCCCGCGGGAAUGAAGACCCAUUUCUUUUCUUAAACUUUUUUUAUAGAAAAAAAAAAUUCCCGUAUUAUUCGAUUUUGCUGACGCUAUCUCAAUACCGGCCGCCCUCCACCCCC